UAACUGCGAGUGAAGCGGGAAAAGCUCAAAUUUAAAAUCUGGCGGUCUUAUGGCCGUCCGAGUUGUAAUCUGGAGAAGUGUUUUCCGCGUCGGACCGUGUACAAGUCUCCUGGAACGGAGCGUCAUAGAGGGUGAGAAUCCCGUCCAUGACACGGACCGCCGAUGCUUUGUGAUACACUCUCGAAGAGUCGAGUUGUUUGGGAAUGCAGCUCAAAAUGGGUGGUAAAUUCCAUCUAAAGCUAAAUAUUGGCGAGAGACCGAUAGCGAACAAGUACCGUGAGGGAAAGAUGAAAAGCACUUUGGAAAGAGAGUUAAACAGUACGUGAAAUUGUUGAAAGGGAAACGCUUGAAGUCAGUCGCGUCUUUCAGAACUCAGCCUUGCUUCGGCCUGGUGUACUUUCUGUUAGACGGGUCAACGUCAAUUUCGAUCGGCGGAGAAAGGUUGAGGGAAUGUAGCGUUGUUUCGGCGACGUGUUAUAGCCCUCUUCUGUAUACGUCGGCUGGGAUUGAGGACCGCAGCGCGCCUUUAAUGGCCAGGGGUUCGCCCCAUGUACCGCGCUUAGGAUGUUGGCAUAAUGGCUUUAAGCGACCCGUCUUGAAACACGGACCAAGGAGUCUAACAUGCUUGCGAGUAUUCGGGUGGAAAACCCUUGUGCGUAAUGAAAGUAAAAGUUGGGAGCCUCCGCGAGGGGGUGCACCGACGCCCGGCCCUGACGUUCUCUGACGGUGCUGCGGUAGAGCAAGUAUGUUGGGACCCGAAAGAUGGUGAACUAUGCCUGAAUAGGGCGAAGCCAGAGGAAACUCUGGUGGAGGCUCGUAGCGAUUCUGACGUGCAAAUCGAUCGUCAAAUUUGGG
rnacentral:rRNA from 1 species